rnacentral:rRNA from 1 species
AGAGUUUGAUCAUGGCUCAGGAUGAACGCUGGCGGCGUGCCUAACACAUGCAAGUCGAGCGAUUCUCUUCGGAGAAGAGCGGCGGACGGGUGAGUAACGCGUGGGUAACCUGCCCUGUACACACGGAUAACAUACCGAAAGGUAUGCUAAUACGAGAUAAUAUGCUUUUAUCGCAUGGUAGAAGUAUCAAAGCUCCGGCGGUACAGGAUGGACCCGCGUCUGAUUAGCUAGUUGGUAGGGUAACGGCUUACCAAGGCGACGAUCAGUAGCCGACCUGAGAGGGUGAUCGGCCACAUUGGAACUGAGACACGGUCCAAACUCCUACGGGAGGCAGCAGUGGGGAAUAUUGCACAAUGGGCGAAAGCCUGAUGCAGCAACGCCGCGUGAGCGAUGAAGGCCUUCGGGUCGUAAAGCUCUGUCCUCAAGGAAGAUAAUGACGGUACUUGAGGAGGAAGCCCCGGCUAACUACGUGCCAGCAGCCGCGGUAAUACGUAGGGGGCUAGCGUUAUCCGGAAUUACUGGGCGUAAAGGGUGCGUAGGUGGUUUCUUAAGUCAGAGGUGAAAGGCUACGGCUCAACCGUAGUAAGCCUUUGAAACUGGGAAACUUGAGUGCAGGAGAGGAGAGUGGAAUUCCUAGUGUAGCGGUGAAAUGCGUAGAUAUUAGGAGGAACACCAGUUGCGAAGGCGGCUCUCUGGACUGUAACUGACACUGAGGCACGAAAGCGUGGGGAGCAAACAGGAUUAGAUACCCUGGUAGUCCACGCCGUAAACGAUGAGUACUAGCUGUCGGAGGUUACCCCUUUCGGUGGCGCAGCU